AAUCUUACACACUCAAUUCAGACACUUCUCUUCCUCAUUGUCUUUCCUCUCUCUCUCCCGUAGACUCUCUUCUCCCUCUUUUUCCCUCAAACCCUAAAAUUUCGCCGCCGAGCUUUCACCAUGAAAGAAGAUGUAUGGCUAUGAAAAGUUCCCUCUUUUUCCCUCAAACCCUAAAAUUCCACCGCCGAGCUUUCACCAUGAAAGAAGAUGCACGGCUAUGAAAAUUUUCCUCUUUCCCCUCAAGCCCUAAAAUUCCGCCGCCGAACUUUCAUCUUGAAGAAGAUGCACGACUAUGUUCAUGUUUCUUUUAACAUUGUACACCGUUGGUUUUGAUUAACCCUGAGUAAUAACUUUCUGGUUUGAUUUUUUUUUGUUUUUUCAGUUGAUUUGAGUUCAAUACUGCUGAGGUUAAUGAGAGUUUGUUUACAAGAUCAAUUUUGGGCAGAUUUACUUGAGUAAACCUAUGAUUAUCGAAACUGAUGGAGAAACUAAGCCUUCACUUUUUUAUAAUAGAAGCUCUCUACGGUACACCACUUAGAGAUUUAAGACAUGGAGCAGGAGCACGAGAGGUAGAAGAUCAAAGUGAUGAAACACGGGGAAGAAUCGAGGACAUUUUUUUUCUCUUUCUCUACCAUUUUCCAAUCUUCCCCUUUUAAGUUCUUCUGAUUUUAAUGAAUUUUCGCUAACUUUAAUUUGAUUGUAUUCUAUCAGUAGGUUUUGAAUGUUAUUGUGAAAUAAGUUUAUUUGUCUGUCUUGUAUUCUAUAUGAACUUGAAUAUGCAUGCUUUUAUUUAAUUCUUUUCAGUUAUACGAUUGUUACAGGCUUGCUUUUUUGGUUGUUGAAUUCAUUUAACUUAUGCCUUUAAUUACCACUUCAUAUAUGUUUUAUAUUUAUGCUGUGGUCAUUCCACUUAUUUAGGUUGUCUUAUCCUUCUAUGUAGAAUGCAGCGAUGCAUCUUUAUGGUGGUGCACAAUAUCACCGGGCAAUGGCUGAGUUUGGUUUUGUAGUUGGAGGAAUCAAGUGUCCUCCAAUCACCCGGGAAGAAGUUGUAAAUGCUUGUGGAGUUGAAGACAUUCAUGAUGGAAAGUACAGACUUAUGUCAAAGUUUGUACCUUAACAUAAGAGAAUUAUGGAUGAAACCUAACCAAUGUAUCUGAAACUAAAUUAUACCAUUAACAUUGGCCUUUAAGGAUUGCUCAGUAGUCUUCUAAAGCAAGCCGAGAUAAGAAUCACGAUACCGUCACCGCCGUUGAAAAUUGCAGCCUAAAUGACUUUAUGAAAUAUACUUUGUAUUAGCCUUUGAAUUGAUUUCCUAUCUUGCAACCAUUGUCAUGUUCUUGAGGUGAUUGAACAUAUGGAGGAAUAUCAAGCUUAGAGGUGUCUGAUGUAUGGAAUAUUCUCUGCUCUAUAUAUAGUUGCGCAAAGCAAAGCUGACUGUUAGGUUGAUUGCUUAUGAAAUAUCAGUGUGAUUAGGAGGAUAAAAUCCUUAAAAGUUAAUGUAAUAAGUGUCAGGAUCCAUUAUGGACUUUGAGAAGAUAUACAAGAUCCAAUUUUGAUUUC